CCUUUUACCUCCCACACUCCCGCCCAGCCCGCUUUGACCUAGCCCGCAUCCCCUCCCUCUCCUGUUCUCCUCUUCCCUGGCGGCGGCGGCAGCGCCCAUGAUGCUUGAAGGUCGUCGGUGCUCCUCCUCCACCACUAAUCUGAGUGCUGUUGCAGUAGAGCCUGAGAGUGAACAAAAUGAAGCCGAGUGAAUGCCCUCCUUGGUAAGUGUUAGUUUCUAGAUGUUUUUUUAGCGCGUAUAGCAGUGAUUAUUUCUGGAGUGGGUUGUAUCCCAACUCCAAAAUGUUGCUAUUUUCGUUCUUAUGUCCGGAUUGAUCUUGGCGAUGCAUUUAGACUUGUUGUUUCAAUUGCUAAGCGUAAGGCCGUUAGAAAUAAUAUUUCCAACCUCCUGAACUAAGCGAUCUUGCUUUUGACCCUCACAUGCAUGAUAUAUAGGGAAGACUAAAUGCUCACUUUAUUCUCUUGAUGUGCAACACCUACAUAUGACUCAUAGAGUAUACAUUCUAGUUUAUAAACUACGUAAUAGUACUGUCUAGUAGAAAAAGUACCAGGUCUAGUUUAUAUGGAGCCCUUUGUGGUGGACAGAACCUAUGGAGCCCUUUAGUACUGAGUGGUAACACCAUCUGAUAUGGUACUAAGGGUCUUCCACGGGUUGCACAAAAGAAAGUAUCUUCCUCUCAAUCACAAAUACUAUGUAGGUGAGAUGGUAAGGGAGAUACGCGUGAGACAAAAAAUCGCGAGUUUGAAUCCCGGCCACCGCAAACGCAUGUAUUUCGCUUGAAAAUUUCAAGUAACAUGUGACAAAGACUAUACCCAUAGUACUAGUACUAGUUGGUCCUUUUCAACCAGUUCCGAUGGAGUGUUUUCUGGAGGCACAUCAAGAUGGUAAACUCGAUUUCCUUUCUGUCAGGUAAGCAUUACACAAUUUCUUAGAGUCCUUCGCCUACCAUCUUUUUGUUUUCAAUUUGUUGGUCCAUUAUUGCGUAAUAUCUUUGCGUAACGUGUGUAGCCAUGGCCCAUGGCGCACGAUUUAUCUGAUUAAUUCCGUGUGCGUGUUCCGAUCAGAAUUCCGAUAAGGAUUCAAAUUGAUUUAUCCGGACUCCGAUUAAGAUUCAGAUUAACGGACCAAGAAAACAUGGUUUGCUUUAGAAAUAAAAUAGAUAUACAGAGAGAGAUAGAGAUAGAGAAAGAGAUAGAAAUAGAGACAUGUGGAUCUUGUACAGGGCAGGCGAGUCGUGUUGAUCACAAACAACGGAGAACCAGAGAACAACUGUCUCCCUUUGGGCAGAGGGCACGCUUCCACCAUCCAGGACAUCGAGAACAAUAAGCGCGACGAUACAGGGGCGAGAGAUCGAUCGACAUGGCGUCUUCGUUGCGACAGCUGCUGCCGCUAAAGAGGAUCCCGGCCGUCCUCGGCUACGCCCGGCGUCCAGCGCCGCCGCCACCUCCCGCCGCCCCCGUCGGCCUCCGGACCUUUACGACCGGCGGCGCGAGCAGCAGCAACGCGUACAAGGCGGCGCCGCCCUUGACUCGGACCUCUCCUGGAAGUGGGAUGUAUCACUGGAGGCAUGGUGAGAUGGUGAAGUCGGACGCGCAUCCUGUCGGGUCCACGCACGAGCGGACCUGUGGGAUCUCUUGUUUCCUGUGUUCUUCUGGACCUUAAUAGGCAUCCCGGCCGUGGUCUAUCGAGCGGCACCCUCCCCUCACGUUUCGCUGGAGAGAUUAAGCUAGCCGCCACUCUUGAUUAUAUUCUGGAUCGAUUAUUGGCUGGUUCAAUUAGUAGACAUUUAUUAAUUAGUUUUCAUAUUAUAUGUAUAGUGCGUGUUUAGUUUUGUAGCAGCAUGUAUACGUACUUUUCUUUCAGUUGGAUGUAUAUGUAGAUUAUCAUGCAUGUUGCAUGAUCAUUACGUACUCUCUUAUAAUUGAUUGAUUACUAUUAAAUA